GAAACCAUCUCACCUGCUCUACAGAAGUCACUGUCUGUACGCCGUCGUCAUUUAAUACUUCCAACCGAUGGGACUCGCUAAAGCAACGUAAAGACUUUGCGCACUUCGUGAGCUCACCAUACCAUACACAAGAAAGCUCAUCGAGGCUACGCGGCGCAGCGUGAAACGCACGUCACUCGAACGAACCAAGGAUUCAUCUGACAGAAGUUCAUUGGCUACGGCAAGACGGGAAGUCCAAAAUAAAUAAAUAUUCUGCUUC